CCCCUCUCAGAGUCAUACCUGGAGAGUUACCAGUACUCUACCAGUUUCGACUAUGGGAGGGAGAGUCAAGCAGAGGCAUAACCAUUCCAUUCCUAGCUUGGACAAUGGCUAGCAUGUGGAAGGCAAUCUGCUACAAGU